AACGAACGCUGGCGGCAGGCCUAACACAUGCAAGUCGAACGCCGUAGCAAUACGGAGUGGCAGACGGGUGAGUAACACGUGGGAACGUACCCUUCGGUUCGGAAUAACUCAGGGAAACUUGAGCUAAUACCGGNUACGUCCGAGAGGAGAAAGAUUUAUCGCCGAGGGAUCGGCCCGCGUCUGAUUAGCUUGUUGGUGAGGUAACGGCUCACCAAGGCGACGAUCAGUAGCUGGUCUGAGAGGAUGAUCAGCCACAUCGGGACUGAGACACGGCCCAAACUCCUACGGGAGGCAGCAGUGGGGAAUAUUGGACAAUGGGCGCAAGCCUGAUCCAGCCAUGCCGCGUGAGUGAUGAAGGCCCUAGGGUUGUAAAGCUCUUUUACCCGGGAAGAUAAUGACUGUACCGGGAGAAUAAG
rnacentral:rRNA from 1 species